rnacentral:rRNA from 1 species
CCUACGGGUGGCAGCAGUGGGGAAUAUUGGGCAAUGGGCGCAAGCCUGACCCAGCAACGCCGCGUGAAGGAUGAAGGCUUUCGGGUUGUAAACUUCUUUUAAGAGGGAAGUGCUGAAGACGGUACCUCUUGAAUAAUCCACGGCUAACUACGUGCCAGCAGCCGCGGUAAUACGUAGGUGGCAAGCGUUGUCCGGAUUUACUGGGUUUAAAGGGCGUGUAGCCGGGCUGACAAGUCAGAUGUGAAAUCCCGUGGCUCAACCACGGAAUUGCAUUUGAAACUGGCGGUCUUGAGUAUCGGAGAGGCAGGCGGAAUUCGUAGUGUAGCGGUGAAAUGCGUAGAUAUUAGGAGGAACACCAGUGGCGAAGGCGGCCUGCUGGACGACAACUGACGGUGAGGCGCGAAAGCGUGGGGAGCAAACAGGAUUAGAUACCCUAGUAGUC